ensembl:lncRNA
CUUUUCCAAUUUUCUUCUUGUAGUUAAUUUCUAGUUUCAUACCAUUGUGAUCAGAAAAGAUACUUAGCAUUAUUUCAAUCUUCUUAAAUUUAUUGAGACUUGUUUUGUGGCCUAACAUGUAGUCUAUUUUGGAGAGUGUUCCAUGUGCAUUUGAAAAGAAUGUGUAUUCUGCAGUUUUCGGAUAGAAUGUUCUACAUAUAUCUACUAAGUCCAUCUGAUCUAAUGUGUCAUUUCAGGCCAACGUUUCCUUGUUGAUGUUCUGUUUGGAUGUUUGGAUGACCUAUCCAUUGAUAGCAGUCCAACAAAACUACCUUGGGAAGCAGUGAACUCUCCAUUGAUAGAACUGUUUACAGAAGAGGGAUGACUAUCUACCAAAGAAGAGGGAGAGCAGUGAAUCCUACACUUUGCUGCUUCCAAACCACCUCAGGACCUUCAAUAAAAAGUACGAAUUCCAAAUCACCGCUCUACAACUUCUGGACCAGGUAUCUUCAUACACCUUGAAGGGCCACAGAGUCAUCCUUGCUCCCUGACUAAUGCUUGAAACAUCCCUCUUCGAGGUUUAUGCUGUGCCUUCACAGGAUGGUCCCCGAAACAAGAUGAAAAAGACAAGUUACCCCAGAGGAACCCAGAACCAAAGACUUGAGAGGGAAAAGAAGUGACCCUGUCUCAACUGGCUGCAGUGAUGGGAAGGCAGCAUUGAUGUGAAGGCAAAUAGAAGAAUUUAUGCUUUAUUUCUGAAGAUUUUGGAAGGCUUUGCUUUUUGUUCAGAAAGUGUGGUAAAGUAACUGUACAUUUACAGAAAGCUCUGCCAACCAUCACAUUGAAACGAAAUAGAAAAUCUCAGCUGUGCUACAACUAAGAAAGGUCCCUAAUCUCACACUACAAUCUCUGAAAAAUAUCUGUAAGAUGCAAUUUUAUUUUUAUCAAAUUGAAUCUGGCCUGAAGUUGACAAAGAACAACUCUCCUUAAGAUCAAAGUUGAACCUAGUGUGGGGAAAAGGAUAAUGAUUUCUGAAGGCCCCCAGUAAUAUCUCUGUGAUUGGAGGUAAUGAGACUGGAACAUAAAUAGGCCACAUAAAGGGCAGGGAAAAAAUUUAGUUCGUUUCAAUUUUACAGAUUAGCAGAGAUGGUGGGGCAAGGAGAGAAACAGCACGAACAUACUUUACCAUUGUCUUCUCUGGUCCAGCUUCCAAACAGGAGAGAUGAUAUAUGGACGUGAGCUGACUUUUCAGCAAUAGGCCCAAUUCAGGAGAAAUUAUACAGCUAUCCACCAAAAAGAAGAAGGAGAUGAUUCAUUGCUACUCAUCUUCUCACCAAAGUGGGCAACUGACAAGUGACUAUGUGCUGAAAUCCAAGACGUGGACGUUCCCCAAACUUGAAAGCAUAAAGCAUACGCUAAAAAACAGUGAAGAUGUUCCUGCGUUCACGGAGAAACUCAGAAACAGAACUCCACAGUCGAAUAUUCCCCAAGCCCCAGAAAUUUCCUCUCAGAUAAAUUCUUCAUCCAACAUCCAACUUUUCACUCAAUUCCUAAGGGAGGAGGCUGAAGGGACUUUUUGAGUUAAUAAGGAAGACAGUCAAAAAUAUCCCUCCUAUACUAUUUUGGGGAAAAUAGCCAGCUGAGUGGGAAUUGCCCCAUUCAAAGAGAAUGAAGGAGAAAUUUAUCAGCCUGUGGUCUAUGCAUAGUCGUAAAGUAAAAAAAAAAAAAAAAAAAAAAAAAAAAAUUCGGCCUGGCUUCGUCACCAACUGGUUAAAGUCCUGCAUGCUUUGCUGUAGUGGUCUGGGUUUGUGGGUUCGGAUCUUGGGCACAGACCUACUCCACUCACCAGCCACACUGUGGAGGUGUUCCACAUCUAAAAAACUAGAGGAGGGUUUGCACAGAUGUUAGCUCAGGGCUAAUCUUCCUUGAGGAGGGAGUGGAGGCACCAUAACACAGGGCAAUAAUGCCGUAUCUGGGAAGAGAUUUACCUUCCUGCCAUAAACAACAAGAAAUUUGAAAAUACCACUUUUACAUACAGAGAAACAGGUAGUACAGGAAUAUAAUCCUUAAGAACAUUACAUUUUCUGGACGAUGGUGUAGGGAGGGGAUCACAACAGGAUAUGUGUUCUCACUCAGUGAAUGAGACAAAAGAAAAAGAGUUUGGGAAAGAAUGCUGGAGAUGGGGAAGGUAUGUAGAUAAAGAGUCCCAGAAAGCUAUAAACUGUCUUCUGGAAUCUUCAGCUCAAUAUUAACCAGCGCUCGUGUAAACUGAAACUCCAAGUGGGAUAUAUGAGUGCAGCAAGCCAGUCCUCCCCCAGCCUACACCAAGCUCUCAACUCUGCCAGAAGGAAAGUCUCCCUCCUGAUCUGCAAUGCUCUUAGUAAGCUUCACCAUGCAAACUGUGCCAGAAGUCAUGAGUCCAGGAGCCAGAGCUGCACGGCACACUUGGGUCUGAAGAGUUUCCUGUAUCACAGUAGUUUUUACCAGGGGUUGAUCUUGCCUCCCAGAGCACAUUUGCAAUGUCUAGAGACAUUUUGAUUGUCAUGACUGGAAAGUUGCUAUUCAUCUAAGGGGUAGGGGCCAGGGAUGCUGCUAAACAUCCUACAAUGCACAGGACAGCUCACAGUGAAGAUAAUAUGUUGGUGUUGCCAAAGUUGAGAACUCAGGUCUGCUCUACCAGAAUGCAGAAGGAAGUAUAACGAACAAUCUUUCAAGCCAUGAGAAGACAGAAGCAGUCUUGUUGCUUUCAAUGUUUGAUCUCAAUUCUCUAUCUGCAGUGCCUCUUGGAGCCUGGUAACUGAAGACACUCUAAAAUCUAUGUCUCUAUAGAAUGAGAGACUGCCAAUAAAUGAGAGAGUGCGUGAAUGCUAAUAAACAAAUAUUCCGUUUUAAGUAUUCUUUCUUGAAGUCUAUUGCCAGUGGGAGGAUUCUGGUGAGGACCAGGCAGAAUUAAGAGUGGGAGUGGUGGUGAGAGGUGAAGAAAAGAAGGAAAUUUGGUUAGAAAUAAUAUUUCCUUUUUUUAUUUUUUAUUUUUUACUUAUUUUGGUAAAGCAAAUG